AUGUGCUUCUCAGAGCUCUGUCUUUCAAGGUCUGUUUCCUUGCCAUAUGAUCUCUAUAAACCAAAUCACUGUUAGCCAGGGCACAGGACCAGAGGCGCCGGAGGCUCAUGGAUAAUGAAUGCCAAAUGCAUGUGACAAUAGACUGAUCAGAAAGCAGAAUAGAAAUUUCUGAGUUGUGCUUUUAUAUAUGUAUACACACACAGACAGGCACACACCUAUGUGUGUGCACACACUCAAGCACACACACAUGCAUGCAUAUCACACACACACACACACACGGGUCAAGCACACAAUAUAUCUUAAUGUAUAAAGGCCAGUUGUGGUCCUUGGUGCCAGAUUCAGAUAACUCAUCUCUCAGUUACUUUGUCAAGACAAAGAAGCCUGUGGAUCAGAAGGAUAAAAUGGAAGAGGAAAACAAAUCAGAACCCCGUUUAGCUGGGGACACUCAAUGUGGAGGAGGCACAGAUUUGACUUUGAAAUUUAGGAUGCCUUGCACUCAGCAACUAACACAGGACACAGCACACAAGGGGGCCUCAACUGAAAAAUGAAAAUCAAGGACUUAUUCCUGGGCACCAAAGGUCUGACCAACCCCUUCACUCACUAACCAGUUUCCAGUGUGACCAAGACAGAGAACACAGGACAGAAACUAGCAGGCCACCAGCUGAAGGCAAAAAGGUGAGGACACUGAGUCUUAGGGAGGUUAAGAGAAGUGCCUAUAAUAUUUCUGUUGGUAUAUCAAAAUAAUUGAGAUUUCAACCCAGAUCAGCGUGGUUCUGAAGGCCAUACUCUUCCUUGCAAACAAAUGGGCCAAUCAGCGACUCAGAAGUUAAUCGGGGGAGCUGGGAUUAAACACUUGCAUGAAAUAUGGAAACUAUUCUAGUCAUGGAGCAGAGCCUGGGAGCCAUACAUCUGAACAGUGUAAAAAUAACAAGGUGGGUCUUGGCAGCUGGGAUGCAGGCGUGCAUGGACCACAGACCUUUAGGAGAUUAUCUGCUAAUCAUGGCCUGGACAUGAGCACUCAAGAGGUGUUGCCUGAAGAAUGAGAUGCUUUUUUAUGAUGCAGUAAAAGAGAGGAAAUCGCCUUGGCCUCUUGCCUUGUCCUGUGCUAAAUGGGGACACCAGGUACCAGAAAUAUUAAGAUGCUCAAGGUCAUACAUACAACUGGUAAGUAGCAGAGUCAGGAAUCAACUUCAGGCUGGUUUAUGCUUUUAACCACCGCACAUCUGCCUCUCAUCAUUUAUCAUUGUAAAGGUAGGUAUCUUGGUUCUCCCUCCUUCCAACACCAUGCUUCCUCUUAACACAUGUAGGAAGACCCUUUUGCCUUUAUUUCACUCUCUCCCAGGCUCCUUCCCAUGGGAGGGAUGGCUUAUUGGUGGGUGCCAUGGCAAGAAUGUGAAAUUCAUUGGUCCAUCCCCUUACAAUAGAUGGAGGUGAUGGGUGGCUUCCCUCGGUGCUGUUGAGUCUCUGCAAUUGUCAGGCUGAGGAGCUCUGUGAUCCUCCAUUCAAGUGGCUCCAUGAGGAUCUGUCCUGCAGACCCAAGCCCUCCUUCAAUCAGGCCCCAUCUAGACUAGAAAGGCAGGUUUUGACUCUCAUUCUGGUGCUAGUUGUGUUCACCCUCCUUCUUUGCUGAUAGGACCCCCAAUAUUGCAUCUCAACUCCUAGGUCUAUUUCUCAGAAUCUGGAUGGGAAAAGCAGAAACCAGUUAGCUCUGCAAUGCACCAACAACUUCCAUCUCAAGAGUUCAAGCCCCAUUCCUGGGCGACUCCAUGAAGUCUGUCCUUCCGUCAGGUUCCCAUGCCCUAGUAUUCCCCAAAGGCCAAGAGAAAUGUUUUUACCAAUGUGUCCCGCAUGAUCCCUGCUCAGCCAGCCCCUUGCUCAGGGCACUGUCCACUCCUGGGUUCAGUCCAGCUGUUUCUUAACUCCAGCCUCACACUAUACAGAUGCAUUCUCUCCAGAGCCCUUUGCCCCCAAGUCUAGACUUUAGUUCUGACUUAAUUCUUCAACACUUAGUAAGAACAGGCAGAACUAAAUGUUUAGCAGAAUCUUGGUGAGGAAUUGAGAAUAAUCAGAAAACAAAACAUGGAUAAAGGAAAAAGAAAGAAACUUCAACUGAAUACUAGGUAUUAUGGCUCCUAAUAAGCCCCCAUGAGGAAACCCUCUGGUCCCUCUUUCCUUAGACUCCCGUAUCCUUGCCUGUUGCCAUAUUACAGGGGGCCCCCUACCAUGAAGGGCCUCUGGCCAUGUGCUUCUAUUUUGAAAUAUACCUUUCAAAACUUUUUGGGAGCUCAAAGAAAAAGGGGAAAAACUCCCCACCUCCAGUGCCCUCAUCUGUCCUCCCAUCAGUGUCCAAUUCACCCUCUGGCAUGCCUCACCACCCAGGCACCUCAACUGUCCUCCUGAACCAGCAAGGAGAAACAAACAAAGAACACCAAUGUUUUCCGCCAUGCCAGCCAAUUCCCACGCUGGCAGCAGUCCAGCAAAUUGUCUUCUCAGUUGGCAUUUCCCAGGCAAAGCAGUUUAUCUUCUCAUCAUCUCAACCUCACUAUUUGAGAAACAGGAGCUGGGCAUCACUUUUGUAUAACCCAAAAGUCCAUCAAAAGGCUUAUCCAAGACCAAAGCGCAGACUUCCUGCAAAAAUGACUACUCGUGGGAGCAAUGGGAAAGAUUGCUGGUAGAUUUUUUUAAAGGAGUUUGUUUCUGCUACACAUGAUGCCAAGACACCCAAAAAGGGGCUCUCUGCUUUCUGAAGUUAUCAUUUUCCUCAUUUUGCAGAAGAGGAAUCCAAGGUUUAGACAAUUUAAACAAUGUAUCCAUGAUAUCCUUGCCAAUAACUGUUGAAGUAGCUAAUAGACACAAAAUCAGUCAGAAUUCUCACCACCAAACUCUGCUUGGAAGAGACAAAUCACAAGUUGCAGACUUGAUGAGAGCCUGGAUGAGUCCUGUCCCCUCAGGAGAGUACGGAGUGGAAGAGGUGGUGUCUGAGGGCUGUCUGAUGGGGUGGCCUCCAGGACUGUGAUUCUGUGCCUGUAGUGGAGUGUGUCCCUUUCACUCCUUGAAGACAAAGCCCUUCCAUACCAAGAUGUCCAUAGUCUGCAGUUAUUCACCUGACUCAGGUGAAUUCUGUCCUGUUAUUGGAGUCAAAGAUGAAGGGCCGAUGAUCUCAAGUUCAUCAUUUUGAAUUCAGAACCCAUCUUUGCCAGAGAAGCCUCAAAGGCAGCUGCUGCCUAAGAUUUCUAGUGCUUUUGUGCAAAAUUCAAUCUGUUCCCUAGGAAGAGGGACAAGGGAGAGCAAGAUACAGAGCUUGAUUUUUUUAAAGGAAAAAUUAAGAAUAAAGAGAUGUUUUUGGGUGACAUAGAAAACAUGGGAAACAUGGCAUUUUUGCUUAGGUCCAACAAGGUGCAUUUCACUCCUCACACUAUUAUGUCACCAGCAUCUCCCACCUACACCUCUCUUGACCUCUAUUCCCAUCUUCCUCCCAGCCCAUGAAGCACACCACUUUCCCAGCCAUGUCAAACCUUUCUUCCUUCCUUCCUUUCCUCCCUUCCUUCCUUCCUUUCCUUUUCUUUCUUUUCUUUCUUUCUUUCUCUUUCUUUCUUUCUUUUUCUCUUUCUUUCUUUUCUUUCUUUCUUUCUUCUUUCCUCCUUUCUUUUUCUUUCUUUCUUUCUUUCUAUCCUUCUUUCUUUCUUACUUUCUCUUCCUUCCUUCUUUCUAUUUUUUCUUUUUCUUUCUUUCUUUUUUUUUUUUUUUGAGACGGAGUCUUGCACUGUAGCUCAGGCUAGAGUGCAGUGGCGCCAUCUCGGCUCACUGUAACCUCCGCCGCCUGGGUUCAAGCUAUCUCCUGCCUCAGCCCCUUGAGUAGCUGGGAUUAUAGGCGCCCGCCACCACGCCCGGCUAAUUUUUUUGUAUUUUUAGUAGAGACGUGUUUUCACUAUGUUACCCAGGCUGGUCUCAAACUCCUGACCUUGUUCUCUGCCCACCUCAGCCUCCCAAAGUGCUGGGAUUACAGGUGUGAGCCACCACACCUGGCCCAAACCUCUCUUUCAAGAUGUUUUUUCCUGGUCACUUUUCUCAUUGCCUGAAAUACCCUUCCUUCUCUGCAAAGUGGUUAAUUCUCAUUUGUAUUCCAAAGGUCAGGUAGGCUCAGUAUCACCUCCUCCAGGAACCUUCCCUAAUGCAUCCUUUUUUCUGGGUCCCAUUGCACUCCAUGCCCACACAUCCCUCUACCACAGCGCCCCUAUGUCACACUGCCAUUCUAUCUAUAUUGGCCCAUGCAAUCUUAGAAUGCACUAUUAAUAGUUUGAAAUCUAUCAUCAAACGUGUCUGAGCCAAGUCCAACUCAUGAGGACAUAUUUUUUAAAUGUCAUAGGCCCCAAUAUUAAAAUAACUUCUCCAAUUGCUUUCCAAUUCUAUUCUUCCCAUCACUGUCAUGACCUACAUCUAAAGGAGAGAUGGAAAAGACAUUGUUAUGUCCACUGAUCCUGUAACUUAACUUCCCUUAGUACCCAGAUAGGUUGUUAUCCUUAUGACCCCAUGCCAUGCACCAACCAUCCUGAAUUACCUAAAGCAUGUUUAUAUAAAUGUAUGUAUAUAUGUAUGUAUUUAAUAACUGCAAUGGCCUGGCACUGACCAAUCAGAACUGGUGCUGGCCUAUCAAGCGAUGUCUUGGGACCCUGAUGCACCAAAGGUAUCAGGUGUGGCAGGUGAUGAGGAGGGAUCUGGCGCACAUCACGGGGACUGUUUAAUUUACUUAACUGGUAUGGAAAUAUUACAAUGUUUUAACCAGAAUUCAUCAGAAAUGAGAGCCUUAGAGAUGUUAUGAACCAGAAAGGGGCCUAGAUACUUACCUAUUCUCAUUAUUGUUCACUGAGGCUCCAACUGGCCCCAAGCUAAGAUACCCACAGACCUGUAGAAUACACGGCAAAUUUUCAAACUGUUUUCUGUUUUGCCUUGAGGAGGUAGUGUAAGAGGAGUGGGAGUAAGAUCAAAAGUUCAGAGUUCCCUCCAAUGCUGUCUGCCUAUCAGACCUUCACCGGCCCCCUUUAGAUUCAAGUCUCUGAAACUAAUCUUGUUUCUGUUCCUAAACAAUGUUCAAGUCUUGGGUUGAGAGUUAUGGCUACAGUAUUCUCUCUUUUCCUAGAAAGAGAAACUUUAGAUUCUCAAGAUAACUGAUAAGAUUCUCAAAAUGACUGAAAGUACUUACUCCAUUGAUGGUAAUUUUAUGAUUUUGUAAUACCCAUUCUUUUCAGUUAUUUGUAAAAUUAAACAGAUAACACAUGCACACAUUCUUACAAAUUAAGAUAAUACCAAUAAAGAGAAAAUACCCUUUAGCUAUCCUUUCUCCACUCUAACUCUCCACAGAGUUAACCAAUACCACCAUUUUAUCCUCUGUCCUUCUCUGCUUUCAAUAAGUAUCUACACGUAUAUAUGCGCAUACAGAAAAAUAAACAUUUUGCUUAGUUGCUUGCUUUUGUUUUGUUUUUUUACAUAGCAUUAAAUGAAUUAUUCUGCAAUUUUUUUUUUUCAUUUAAAAUACGUUUGACCGGCCGCGGUGGCUAACACCUGUAAUCCCAGCACUUUGGGAGGCUGAGGCAGGUGGAUCACGAGGUCAGGAGUUCGAGAUCAGCCUGGUCAACAUGGUGAAACCCCG
rnacentral:lncRNA from 1 species